rnacentral:tRNA from 1 species
GGGCGAUUAGCUCAGUUGGCUAGAGCGCACCCCUGAUAAGGGUGAGGUCACUGGUUCGAAUCCAGUAUUGCCCA